GACGAACGCUGGCGGCGUGCUUAACACAUGCAAGUCGAACGGUGAAGCGCCUUCCUUUUUGGUGGGUGUGGAUGAGUGGCGAACGGGUGAGUAACACGUGAGUAACCUGCCCCCUUCUUCUGGAUAACCGCAUGAAAGUGUUGCUAAUACGGGAUAUUCUGGGUCUGUCGCAUGAUGGGUCUGGGAAAGAUAUUGUUUCGGUGGGGGAUGGGCUCGCGGCCUAUCAGCUUGUUGGUGGGGUGAUGGCCUACCAAGGCGGUGAGGGGUAGCCGGCCUGAGAGGGUGGACGGCAACACUGGGACGGAACGACGGCCCAGACUCCGACGGGAGGCAGCAGUGGGGAAUAUGGCACACUGGGAGGAAGCAUGAUGCAGCGACGCCGCGGGAGGGAUGGAGGCCUUCGGGUUGUGAACCUCUUUCGCCAGUGAAGCAGGCCUGCCUCGUUUGUGGGUGGGUUGACGGUAGCUGGAGAAGAAGCGCCGGCUAACUACGUG
rnacentral:rRNA from 1 species